rnacentral:lncRNA from 1 species
CGAGGACGCGCCGCCACCGCCCCACAGCGUCACCGAGACGUCGGUGGCGCCCACGGGCGCGGUCCAGUUGGUCGAUGCGCCCACAAAGACCGUGUAGCGGUAGGCGUCGACCGCAGCGGCGCAGUACAAAAGGGCCAGCAGGGCCAUCGUCGCGCCGGUCGCUCGCGAGGAUCGGGAGGAAAGAGGCAUCCUUUCUUCUUGUUUGUCGGUGUCGAUCGUCGUUGAUCGUUCUUUGCUCGCGCCGUCUUACAGCGAGGCGCGAGCGUAUUUUUAGCCCGGCGCUCCUGUCGGCGACAGCGGCGUCGAGCAGAGACGCGGGCGCGUGGCCGACGCUGUCGGAAAUCGUCUGAAAAAGGCUCGAUCCGACCGGCGCCUUUGCGCGCGCCCGCCGGCCUCGACGGCGCAUUCUCGGAGGUUUUUGGCGCCGGGGCGGGGGUGCGCGCGUCCAUCCGGCGGGGACGGGUCCCUGC